rnacentral:rRNA from 1 species
CGUGUAGGCGGAUUAAUAAGUUUGAAGUGAAAUCCUAUAGCUUAACUAUAGAACUGCUUUGAAAACUGUUAAUCUAGAAUGUGGGAGAGGUAGAUGGAAUUUCUGGUGUAGGGGUAAAAUCCGUAGAGAUCAGAAGGAAUACCGAUUGCGAAGGCGAUCUACUGGAACAUUAUUGACGCUGAGAUGCGAAAGCGUGGGGAGCAAACA